rnacentral:lncRNA from 1 species
UUUUCUUCAUGGACUGAUUUAAAAGCUGCUCUUGGGGGUAGAAGGAGUCCACUCCAAAGACCAAAUUAGUGACCAAACCAAACAGCAGCUGCUUUAUUCUUGUGCACAAGAGGCAAACAUUCAACAGGGAGAGAGUUGACCCAUGCCGUGUGACUCUUUUAAGCACACUUAUUUGGGAAAGGCACACAUGAGCAGACAAAGGCAAAAAAGGCUGUGACCAGACACAACAACAACAACAACAAAAAAGCAUUUCUUUCCACAGGAAAGAAACACCAUCCGAUAUAGACCGUUCCAAAGAAUGCACUGCAACAUUAAGCAGAAAACGCAAAAUGAAAGUGCACAUAAAAUUCAGCGCGCUUUGCUUUUAAUUAAAAUGCUCAUUCCAUAAAGAAACACCUUGGCCCGGGACUCACGCCCUUGGAGGGCAGGCCUUGCAGGGGUUCGCAGGGGCUGCUCAUGUUUGGCCCCCUAUCCUGCAAAGACUCCUUCAAAAGUAGCUCGCAACAGCAGCGGCGACUGUCAUACCAGCAGUCAGCUGCAGUAUCGGCUCUCUGGAAAGCAGACGGCCCCUCGUCUUCUGCAGAGAUGUGUACAGCUUGACUGAAGUUCUGGCCGCAUUCGCUCUCUGUUGUCCUCCGCCUUGGUGACAUCACAAAGAGAGANGAGACCUGCUCUUCGGAAGGCGGAGAAGUCUUCCAUGUUCUAUACGGGCCUCAGUGUGUGUCCCUGCCACAAGCAGCUGAGCAGAACAGGGUCUUUCACCUGAGGGCAUUUCUAGGUGUGAGAGGUCAAAGCCGGAUUCCGGCACAGGAGGCGCCAUGGAUUACCUCACCGUUCCCGCCAUGUCCUCUGUGCCUCAGAUGGAGAAAGCGGUGACUAAAGAUGACCAGGCACAAGGGCCCUUCUUGGCACCUGGAAGUCCAGGACUCCCCGCUGGUGGCCAAACGCCUGGGACUCCAGCUCCAGACACUCAGGAAACUUCCACAGUGCUGCCGCUGCACAAACUGCUCUCGUAUACAUCCAGGAGCAGAGAGAGUCGGAAACUGAGCAGAUUUUCUAAGUCCAGGCGAGGAAGCAAAGCUACACAUUCGUCACAGAGAUCUAAAGCCGCAGUAAAGCCGGUUCGACGCCGUCGCAAGCGGAAGCAUCGACACCUGACGUUUAAGGACCUGAUGAUUCGCUCGUGGCAAAGGACCCGCCCACACCUGAGCUACCUGUGGCAGAUCAUCUAUGACCUGACCCAAUCCUUUUUCUUUGAUUUCUUCAUCUGUUCUGUGGUGGCCCUGAACACGAUCUUGCUGGUGGCUCAAACCUUUGCUGUGGUAGAAAUCCGGGGAGGUAAUCUUC